UAAUACCGCAUAAUGCAGCGGCACCUAAUGGUGACAGUUGUUAAAGCGGGGGAUCGAAAGACCUCGCGUCUGAAGAGGAGCCUGCGGCGGAUUAGCUAGUUGGUAGGGUAAUGGCCUACCAAGGCAACGAUCCGUAGCCGGCCUGAGAGGGCGGUCGGCCACACUGACACUGACAUACGGGUCAGACUCCUACGGGAGGCAGCAGUCGGGAAUUUUGGGCAAUGGGCGAAAGCCUGACCCAGCAACGCCGCGUGAAGGAUGAAAUCCCUCGGGAUGUAAACUUCGCAAGAACGGGAAGAAUAAGUAGGGGACAAUACCCCCUAUGAUGACGGUACCGUUUGUAAGCUCCGGCUAACUCCGUGCCAGCAGCCGCGGUAAUACGGGGGGAGCAAGCGUUGUUCGGAUUUACUGGGCGUAAAGGGCGCGUAGGCGGCCAGUGCAAGUCAGUUGUGAAAUCUCCGAGCUUAACUCGGAAAGGUCAACUGAUACUGCUCGGCUAGAGUGCGGAAGGGGCAACAGGAAUUCUUGGUGUAGCGGUGAAAUGCGUAGAUAUCAAGAGGAACACCUGCGGCGAAGGCGGGUUGCUGGGCCGACACUGACGCUGAGGCGCGAAAGCUAGGGGAGCGAACGGGAUUAGAUACCCCGGUAGUCCUAGCCUUAAACGAUGAAUGCUUGGUGUCUGGGGUUAUAUAGUCCCCGGGUGCCGUCGCUAACGCUUUAAGCAUUCCGCCUGGGGAGUACGGUCGCAAGACUGAAACUCAAAGGAAUUGACGGAAUCGAAUU
rnacentral:rRNA from 1 species